rnacentral:lncRNA from 1 species
UUCCAUUCACUUCUUCUAGCUUAUUCUGUCAUCUUAGUUUCUUUCCCAAGAUCUAGCCUAACAGUUAUGAAUCUGAAAUCUGGUUUAUAUUACUUAUGAGACCUGGGGCAAAACAAUAACUUCUCCAGGUCUCAGUUUCCUCAAUUGGAAAAUGGAUUAGAUGGAUCUCGAAGUCCUUGUCAGCUUUGAAUCUAGGAACCUAAAAUCAUUCCUAGCCAACCGUAUUUCUCACUGAUCAUCCAAUAAGGCUUCUUUACUCCAAUCAGACAGACUUAUAUACUCAAUGUCCCCAAAUAUCUCAUGAUGAUUUUCAACACUCUGCUUUUGCUCAGCCUUCAAGUUGAAAUGGACCUAGGCACUAGUCUAAACUUCUGCCCUAUGCAAGUAUUUUCUACAGCAUCCUUAACAGGUGACCCAACAUUUAUGCUUAUUAAAUUUCAUAUCAUUAAUUGAGACUUCUUACAAGAGAUCUGCCUUCUUGUCUCAAAUUUGUUAUUAAUGAAUCUCCUUGCUUUAGGCAAGUCACUUAACCUACUUUAGUCAGGUCAGUCAGUCAAUAACCAUUUAUUGACUACAAUAUCUCAGGCCUAAGCAUUAGACACACAAAGAGAGGCAAAAAAACUCUAUCCUUGAGAACCUUAAAAAUUCCCAGACCCUACUUCAUAAGAUUGGAUUAAGACCAUUCCCCAUUUGGGCAGUGAACUCUACUUAGAUCAGAAAUGGGAGGAACUCUACUCCACCCCUACUUAAACCUGCUUUAGGGGAGAAAACUCCUUGCUGAACAAUGAAAAGUACUUAAACCCAUACUUAAGCCAUGCCUAUUUUUAGAACUAAUACAAAGGGGUGCUAAGUACCUAUAAAGAUCAGGCAACUUGUGAACUUACAAGGAAAAAAGAGGUGAGAACUUACUCAGAGAUUUUAGUCUACUCAGGUGUGGAUUACUCAAAAGUUUAGUCUACUCAGGUGUGAAUUCAGAAUGGUCUGUCCUUUGGAAAAUGUCUACUGGGAUAGGUAGAUGGAAGAACUUAGGGGAGGUGGCAUAGGAGAAAAUGCCCUUUAAAAGGAGAUGAAAAGCUCUCUCUAAGAAGAGUCAUCUGGGAAAGGCUGCCUUGAAGGGUCUCUCUCUCUAGGGGGACAUUCUGAAACAUUCAGAUUGAGGAUUGAGCUGGUGAAAGCAGCUGAGAUGAUGCUGGCCUGGUAUCACUAGAAUCCUUGCUUGGACAGAUCUUGUGGUGAGUGAUUAAGGACUGACUGAUCUUUUCUCUUAGGGUUUAGGCCUGGAUUGGCCAGGACUGGC